rnacentral:rRNA from 1 species
UGGGGAAUUUUGGACAAUGGGCGAAAGCCUGAUCCAGCAAUGCCGCGUGUGUGAAGAAGGCCUUCGGGUUGUAAAGCACUUUUGUCCGGAAAGAAAUCCUUGGCUCUAAUACAGUCGGGGGAUGACGGUACCGGAAGAAUAAGCACCGGCUAACUACGUGCCAGCAGCCGCGGUAAUACGUAGGGUGCAAGCGUUAAUCGGAAUUACUGGGCGUAAAGCGUGCGCAGGCGGUUUGCUAAGACCGAUGUGAAAUCCCCGGGCUCAACCUGGGAACUGCAUUGGUGACUGGCAGGCUAGAGUAUGGCAGAGGGGGGUAGAAUUCCACGUGUAGCAGUGAAAUGCGUAGAGAUGUGGAGGAAUACCGAUGGCGAAGGCAGCCCCCCGGGCCAAUACUGACGCUCAUGCACGAAAGCGUGGGGAGCAAACAGGAUUAGAUACCCUGGUAGUCCACGCCCUAAAACGAUGUCAACUAGUUGUUGGGGAUUCAUUUCCUUAGUAACGUAGCUAACGCGUGAAGUUGACCGCCUGGGGAGUACGUCGCAAGAUUAAAACUCAAAGGAAUUGACGGGAUCAUAGCUGUUUCCU